GACGACGCUGGCGGCGUGCUUAAUACAUGCAAGUCGAGCGAGGCCUUGGAAUUGGAGUCCUUCGGGAUGAAGAGUCCUUGGCCUAGCGGCGGACGGGUGAGUAACGCGUGGGCAACCUACCCCAAAGUCCGGGAUAACAGUGGGAAACCGCUGCUAAUACCGGAUGGCUUUACCUGAGGGCAUCCUCGGGUAAAGAAAGGUUACGCUUUGGGAUGGGCCCGCGUCCCAUUAGCUAGUUGGUGAGGUAACGGCUCACCAAGGCGACGAUGGGUAGCCGGCCUGAGAGGGUGAACGGCCACACUGGGACUGAGACACGGCCCAGACUCCUACGGGAGGCAGCAGUAGGGAAUAGUCUACAAUGGCCGGAAGGCUGAUAGUGCGACGCCGCGUGAACGAGGGAGCCCUUCGGGGUGUAAAGUUCUUUUCUAUACGAGCAGUGCUAUAUAUAUGGAUAGUAUAUAUAGAGGGAUAGUAGUAUAGGAAUAAGCAACGGCUAACUCCGUG
rnacentral:rRNA from 1 species